AAAUCUAAGGACCACUCUAUUCACCCUACAGUGACUGCUCUUUUUCCCUCCUGCCACAGUCCAGGGUAGGAGAUACUUCUCCAGGCUCUCACUUAUGGGGGCUUUCCUGCUGGCUACAUCACUGAAAUGGAAUCUCCUAGUGGCCCUUCUCCCUCUACAGCUCUGGUGUUACACUGAAAAACUAGAAGUUUCAAAACAGACAAGGGAAAAAGAGAAACAUCAGAAAGUCUGAUUAAAGUAGAAGCAUCAUAUUUCUAUCAACGUAUCCACUGUGCUUGAGAUGGAGUCUCACUACAUUACCCAGGCUGGUCUCGAACUCCUGAACUUGAGCUAUCCUCCUGCCUUGGGCUCCCAAGGCGCUAGGAUUACAGGCAUUAUAGUAUACAUAGCCUUGGAAUCAGAAGACCAAGAACAUACAAGAGAACAUAGCCUUGGAAUCAGAAGACCAAGAAACAAUUUAACUCUGCCCCUCUAGAGCUCUGAGAACUUGGGCAAGCCUUUUACCCUCUGUGAGUUUCAGUUUCCUCAUUUAUUUAAUUGAAAUAAUAAUACAGAUCACCUGAAAUGUAAUGAAAAUUAAACAUCCUUAUGUAGGUGAAACCAACUGGCAGCAUGCCUGGAAUAUAGUGAGUGCUCAUUCGGUCUCUUGUAUUUUCUUUCUAUACCCUACUUCUGUUCCCUUGGAUUCAUAUACCUGAAUUGGAAACACCCAAAGUCAAAAAGAAUAAGAAAAAUCUUUAGAAAUGUAGCAUAUUACCAAGAUCUGCAAAUUUCUGCCCAGAGCAGAUGGUUCUAAUAAAGAAAGUCGGAUCUUAUGUUGAGUUCUUUUCUGUCCAAGAAUAGAAGACCUUCCCUCUUCUCCAGUAGUGAAGAAUAGGAUUCAUCAGCCUUGGGGGCAAAGUUAAAAACUUGCUCUAGAAAGUGGCCUGGAUAGUCAGAAACUGCUUAGACUCACUCCAUCUGUUCUAUACACAUACACACACCUUUGUUUGUCAGUAAAAUAUUCAAUGAGACUUGAUAGUCCAAUCCUUUGAAACCAGAAUAAUAUUUGAAAUUUUGAUGAUUUUAUCUAACUGCUAAUAUCACUUGCAGGUCAUCAGUGUUUUACAUCCAACAAACUAAUGGUCAUUUGCUGCUUUAUAAAGAGCCGAUAUAAUUUUGUCUUCCUUGUUAUUAAAGGAUCAAGCAAGGGUGUUUCUGUACCAGUUCAACUUUCCUUAUUUGCUUAUUAGUCAGUAAUAUUCAAGAAAAUCCUAGUUUUAAAAAAUGUCAUUACAUGUUAAACUGUGGAAAGAGUCACCAUCAUUUGAAUAAAUCUUGAGUAAGCCCA
ensembl:lncRNA JUN-DT JUN divergent transcript